UUUUAUUAAUUUCUGUUUUAAUUUUUUUUAUUCCAUUUUAUUUUAAAAAUUCAUAACUUCUUUAUUUGGAAUCACAAAAAUAUGGGACCAAUUGCAAAAAAUUUCUCUUAAAUUCUAGUUUCUAAAAAUUAUUUUUAAUUAUUUUUGUGAUUCCAUUAAUAUUUUUUGUGAAUUAUUUCUUUUCUGGUUGUUUUUAAUUCAUUUAAAAUACCUUUUGAUUUUCAAAAUCUCCAAAAAUA
rnacentral:lncRNA from 1 species